AUCACUUCUUGGCCUUUUGCCUAAGAGCAAGUGUAGCAUCUGUUCUUAGUUUGGUAAUAUUUAAAAUAGCCAAGGAUUUGAUUUUUGAUGAAUGUUAAACCUUGUUAAAUAUUGAGUCAUACGGAAUUUAAGCUUAUGACUGCCCGGAAUAUAAAUCUAGACUCCCGAUCACUCUGGCAUCUUGC